GGGACGCGCCUCCCUGCUGCAGCCCAGCCCCGCCAGCGCCGCGUCCCCGCCGCCGCCUGCUCCCGCCGGCCGGGUCGCAGCCGGAUCAUGGAACUCGGGGACCCCCGCGAGCCCCGCGAGCCCAGGCCAGGGGCAGAGACCGCGGCGGCCCCGCUAUGGGAGGAAACCAAGACUUUCUACGACAACCUCGCGCCCAAGAAGAAACCCAAAUCGCCCAAGCCUCAGAAUGCCGUCACAAUUGCUGUGUCCUCCCGAGCCUUGUUCCGCAUGGACGAGGAGCAGCGCAUCUACACGGAGCAGGGCGUGGAGGAGUAUGUGCGCUACCAGCUGGAACAUGAGAACGAGCCCUUCAGCCCCGGGCCGGCCUUCCCCUUCGUGAAGGCUCUGGAGGCUGUGAACAGGCGGCUGCGGGAGCUGUACCCCGAUAGUGAGGACAUCUUUGACAUUGUCCUCGUGACCAACAACCACGCUCAAGUGGGUGUCCGUCUCAUCAACAGUAUCAACCACUACGACCUGUUCAUUGAGCGGUUCUGCAUGACAGGUGGGAAUAGCCCCAUCUGCUACCUCAAGGCCUAUCACACCAACCUCUACCUGUCAGCUGAUGCGGAAAAAGUGCGGGAAGCCAUUGAUGAAGGGAUUGCAGCCGCCACCAUCUUCAGCCCCAGCAGGGAUGUGGCUGUAUCCCAGAGUCAGCUGCGCGUGGCCUUUGAUGGGGAUGCUGUGCUCUUCUCCGAUGAGUCGGAGCGCAUCGUCAAGGCCCAUGGGCUGGACAGGUUCUUCGAGCAUGAGAAGGCCCACGAGAACAAACCUUUGGCUCAGGGCCCCUUGAAGGGCUUUCUAGAGGCACUGGGUAGGCUGCAGAAGAAGUUCUACUCCAAGGGCCUGCGGCUGGAGUGUCCAAUCCGCACCUACUUGGUGACGGCACGCAGCGCGGCCAGUUCUGGGGCCCGGGCUCUCAAGACCCUGCGCAGCUGGGGCCUGGAGACAGACGAAGCCCUGUUCCUUGCGGGAGCGCCCAAGGGCCCCCUCCUUGAGAAGAUCCGCCCACACAUCUUCUUCGACGACCAGAUGUUCCAUGUGGCUGGGGCUCAGGAGAUGGGCACAGUGGCCGCCCAUGUGCCUUACGGCGUGGCACAGACACCCCAGCAGGCUGCACCUGCGAAGCAGGCCCCGUCUGCACAGUAGCUGAGCCGCCAGCUCCAGGCACAGCCCCCUGUCAUAUACUUCACCAUGUCGUCCAGUGGACCCUUCUAGUUCCUCACUACUCUGUCCUACACAACUGCUCCCAUCUCCACGAGUGAGGGACUGGUGGGGAAUUAUGCGGACCGAGCCAGAAUUCUCACCAGCCCCUCUUUCGGGCAAACACUGUGCCAUGAUUCCGGCAAGGAGAGGAAGACUGCAGAGUAGCUGGGUUGCAGAGAAAGUUGAGGGAACGAGGGCGGCAGGUCAGAGGAGCCAGGGUGGGGCCUGGUCAGAGGAGCCAGGUAAGAAGGGAAGGGGCCUGGGAUGAAAACCAGCUCAGUGGGAUGCAAGGAACAUGGCUUUGAGAGAGAAGGCAUCUGGCUUCCAAGCUCCGUCCUGGCAUUAGCUGUCUGACUUCGGGUAAGUCCCUCCCUUUCAUGGCCCUCAGUUCCCCCAUCUUGUAGGUGGUUUUCAAAGUCUCCUUCAGCUCAAGAAGCUUGGUUUAAUAAGAUUGCCCUGUGAUAGGGCCGCUGCUAGUCCGUAUGGUACAUUUGUUCAACUAGAGAAGAGCACUGUCUCUAGAAUGAAUUUCAAAAAGACGGCCCUUCCUGGGGGCUGGCCCAGACCCACACUGGGGUCCUUGCCUUGCUCGGCAGCAUGUAGCCUGUUUUUCAGCCCCCACUGGCUCCUCAGGCCAAGGGCCUUUGUCAGAUGGGCAAAAUGCACAAUUGUCUGCAGCAACCCUACCUCUACUGCCACACGUUUGGAAACCACUGGACAAGAUGACCCAUCUGCUCCCUGUGAUCCUCUACUCUGAGUCAUGCACCAGGGGUCAGCUGCCAGGGCAGGGUUUGCGGAAGGAGAGAGGAGCCAAUUUAACCUGCGCGCAAGCUCUCCCUCCACCAGCAGGGGGCACUGCAAGCUCUCCCAGGGAGGAGCGGUGGUGGCAGCCUGCCCGGUGCUCCCUUUGCUUUUGCUUUCAGCCAAAUUUCCUUUUGUUCCUGCCUCCCAAACCCCUCAACUCAGCCCCCCCUCCUCCCUCAAUGACCGCAUCUUGCUGUGCUGCCAAGCAGCUACGCCAGUGGGGGAAGAGGUGGGGUUUGGGGUUCACUGUUGUGGACCCAAAUGCAGAGGAAGAAAGCUCAGGGGCUAAAGGGGGAGGUAGUCCUGCCUGCGUGGGAGGGAAGGCCCACCCCGGGUGACGUGAGAAGGUCGGCUCUGAGACAGUGACCAGCUAGAGAGCAAGGAGCUGAAGUGUGUGCACUAGCAAGAUUCUCCAGCUAUGGGACUGCGAGCGGAAGUACCGAGUUCUCUGUCACUGGGAUGCUGUGCAAGGGACUCCAGGAUGAAGUGACCUCCCCCUGCAGCGCCCCAGUGGAUCCUCCACCCUUGCAGGAGCCUCUGCAGCCCCUUUGUCACCACUUCCCGCGGAGAACUCUCACUUGUUGAUGAGUCAGCCUCCUCCUUUGCAGACGAGCCUGGCUCUCGCUAUGAAGGGAGGGUGGGGACACUGAGAACUUGUCCCUCAGGAAGACCCAGAAAGGGUGAGCAGCUGUCUGUGUGAGCGACUGAUUGCCUGGCUCCGAGAAGAAUCCCAGCGUGAGCAAGCACUCCAUGAAGCAAGCCACAGGAACCAUCAUAGGACAGGAGCCUGGAGGUCAUUUGCCAGCUUUCUGUGGAAGCAAGAACAAGUUCUUCAUGAAGAGUUUCAGUGAGGGCUUUAGCUGGUGCAGAUGUUACUGAUCAGGCAAGAGAUAAAACUCCAGCAAAAGUCAGAGCGGCAAUUGUCUUGUGCUAUGUGGGUGUGAGCGACAAACACACAUACCCUCGCGGUGGAAUUGUGCAUCACGAGAAAUCUAGGACCCUGCAGGUUUAGGAACUUACCACGGUUGCAGAAUCCACUGCAAGAAUGGCAAGUGUGGAAGUGGUCCCACCUGUAGACAUCACUGUUCCAUCAUGAUACUCUUCUCCCAUAUGCCCAGACUUGGCCUCAGAAGCCUUCUCAACCCAGCCUUCCAGGCGGCCCCUACCAGUGAGUUAGAGUUGGCAUGAAAGAUGAAACCCUAUUUUGACUUCCCUGUUGGUGUUGGGCAUUGCUUUCCAGAGGGCAUUCAAGGCCCUGAAUGUUCAUUCUCUGAUGCCGUGGUACAACUCAGGACACCGGGGUCUCACCCCACUAGGGCAGAACACAAAGAGAAGGGGGGAUGGCAUCCUGGGGCUGGUGGCUUCCCUGGAUCCCGUACCUGGGAAACCACUGGGUUUCACCAUUUUGAGGCAAAGUACAAUACCCCGUCCCGCCAGAAGAUGGCACUACAGGCCAGAGUUGGUGGUUUUAUUCAGGGGUUGAUUUUUCUCUCCUGGGUUAGUAGGUGCUGUGCUAGAUUCCUGCAGGAAAGGACUGAAAAUUUCCUGUGUGACAAGCUGAUUGCUCUUACCAGCAACCACUGUGAUUGUGUGUUUGGACACAUUCAUCUGAGUGUGUACAACAGGAUAAAAACUGCAUGUAUGUUUGUUUAUGUGAGCGUGUAAUGGGUCAGAUAUAUCUGCUGACAACUGUGUGUGUGUGUGUGUGUGUGUGUGUGUGUGUGUGUGGACAGUGGACAGGAUGGUUAUCUCUGUUAACUAAGGAUCCUGGGCCCCCAUACUAUGGCCAGUCCUGUUUCCUCGGACUGCUUCUGGCCAUUUCCAUCAUCUCAUGGGCAUUUGCACAUGUGCAGCAUGGGGGCCACUUAUCUUUCUUGCCAGCUUCCAGACUCUGGCCAACAAGAUCUUGACUUAUAAUCCUCUACCUCCCAGUCCUACACCCUGCAGUCUUGGGAAAGAAGUGGUUGAAUCUGUGCUAGGACACCCCUUUGGACUGCAUUUGCCUCACCAUUUCCACUUAUUUCUUUUCUCCCCCUAAUAGUCCCAGGGUUAACACGUACAGUUGGGCAGAUUGUAUACUGCACGAAUCCAGAUGGUGUCAUUCACACUAUGACAUGAGUGGAGCUUUCUUAACACCUGCAAAACCUGCCAACCUCACGCAGCUGUCCUGGUCAUCUCAUGGUCAUGGCCAGAAAAGCUACCUUCUUCCCUGCUCCCCUGGCCCAGCCCGAUCUAGGCUGGGAUUCCUUUCUCUGCUUGGGUGUUCUAGUCUGGCCCAGAAACGACUAACUCUUGGCCUUGAUCAGGAAGUAUCUCCCCAAAGCCUUUGGGAUUGAAUUGAUGAAAGUGAAAUAUGGCUGGCAACUUUUCAGUUAUUCACCUUUUUAGGAUUAGAGGUCCCUGUAAGACAAAUGAAAGUUCUACAGACUGGGGUUACUGCCUCCCAUACUCCUGGAUUGUGAGUGAAAAUGCCUCCGUGGGCCCACUGUUAAGAUGGGUCCACCAUGGAAUUAGGAUAAAGGCCUCAAGGCUAAGCUUGUAGCUUCCACCAGGUAGAAAAUCAUGAGGUCACCACGGACUGGGUGUCUGGGCCUGGUCACAAGGGCCUCCACGGACCAGGCAGGAAACAUAAAUGAGAGAAGAGAGGCAGAGUCUUUAGUGAAAGGGAGCGUGCAUAUGCUGUUGUCUGACACGGUUUCUGCCACAUGGGAAUAUGUGCUGGUGUGGCCAGAUACCCCACCCCGUUUUUCAAGAGAAGCUAAAAAUCUGGACUUUUAAAUGUUGGCAACUCUUUUGAAUUUGGAAACCACUGCACAAGCCAAACAAAACACAUCCUGUAGGCUCAAGCCAGCCCUGGAGUCGCCUGUCUGCACCUUCUGGCCCAGGCCCAGUGAACUGGGUUCUUCAGAACCGACUAACUGAGCAUGUAAGGGUAUUUCACUCAGGCUCCCAGAGUUUAGGAUCUUUAAGAGACCUCAGAGAUAACCUAGUUCAUCCCUGUGUGUUUUAAACUGUGUGCAUAUCAAGUACUUUAUUAGCAUGUGUAUCUUUAGCUUCUGGUUUCUACUUAAAAAGCAUCUCAGUCCCCUUCCCCCCCCUCAAUAUAGAACAAGAUUUAAAGUGAAGCCUUAUACAUAGUGUGCUUGUAUCUACCUGACUGAAGCCCUAUUUAUAUCUUUAUAGGUCUAUUUAUAUCUUUGGCAAACAUGGGCUGCCCUGGUCUUCCUUACAACCUAACCUCCUUGGGUUGUUUUUUAUGGUAAAUCUCCUAAGUGCCUCCUUAAACGGUUGGAGCAUGCGCUUCGUUAUCUAUGUGAGUUCCCUUGUCUGAGGAGGGGGUGAGACAGCUCAUACAUUUUCAGCUCAGCCCCUCUAUGGUCUGCCACCAGCCCUCCCUGGGCCCCAGCUCUGUCGGGCUCACAGCAUUUACCCAGUCACGUGAUACAGGGUGCUGUGUGCUUGUCAGUGUGGAUCCCUCUCAUUCCUCAUGCUGGUCCUAUACCUGAAUCUUACAACAUGAGCUUCUGCCUCAUAAAAGCCAUUCAAAUAAAUAGAUGACUUUUAAAAUAAA